UGGGGAAUAUUGCACAAUGGGGGAAACCCUGAUGCAGCGACGCCGCGUGAAGGAAGAAGUAUCUCGGUAUGUAAACUUCUAUCAGCAGGGAAGAAAAUGACGGUACCUGACUAAGAAGCCCCGGCUAACUACGUGCCAGCAGCCGCGGUAAUACGUAGGGGGCAAGCGUUAUCCGGAUUUACUGGGUGUAAAGGGAGCGUAGACGGUAUGGCAAGUCUGAUGUGAAAGGCCGGGGCUCAACCCCGGGACUGCAUUGGAAACUGUCGGACUGGAGUGCCGGAGGGGUAAGCGGAAUUCCUAGUGUAGCGGUGAAAUGCGUAGAUAUUAGGAGGAACACCAGUGGCGAAGGCGGCUUACUGGACGGUAACUGACGUUGAGGCUCGAAAGCGUGGGGAGCAAACAGG
rnacentral:rRNA from 1 species